rnacentral:rRNA from 1 species
CCCUUAGAUGUCCUGGGCCGCACGCGCGCUACACUGACAUGUUCAACAAGCCUCCUAGUUCGACAGGAUUUGGGAAAUCUUUGAACGCAUGUCGUGAUAGGGAUAGAUCAUUGCAAUUAUUGAUCUUGAACGAGGAAUUCCUAGUAAACGCGAGUCAUCAGCUCGCAUUGAUUACGUCCCUGCCCCUUGUACACACCGCCCGUCGCACCUACCGAUUGAAUGUUUCGGUGAAGAUUCCGGAUAGGACUUUUUUGAUUUAUUUCAAUUUUGUCUUAAAAGCUAUCUAAACCUCAACAUUUAGAGGAAGGUGAAGUCGUAACA